rnacentral:rRNA from 1 species
UACGGCGGGAGCUAGCGUUGUUCGGAAAUACUGGGCGUAAAGCGCACGUAGGCGGCGCAGCAAGUCAGGGGUGAAAUCCCGGGGCUCAACCCCGGAACUGCCCUUGAAACUGCAGUGCUAGAAUUCUGGAGAGGCGAGUGGAAUUCCGAGUGUAGAGGUGAAAUUCGUAGAUAUUCGGAAGAACACCAGUGGCGAAGGCGACUCGCUGGACAGACAUUGACGCUGAGGUGCGAAAGCGUGGGGAGCAAACAGG